UGGGAAUUGAACUUAGUGUGAUUUUUCAGUACAAUAUUUUUACUCUUUCACACGCUUCCGCACAACAAUUAAAGUAUAUCUCAUCAAUUUAAUUAAUUCAAGUUUUUUCAUUCAAUUCGAUUCGAAUUGACUUGAUUCAAUACUGCCCUUAAUUUUUCUUCUUUCCCUUAAAUUUUUUCAUCACAAAAAAAAGCCAUUAAUACCUUAAAUACCUCCAAAAUCUCAAUUUUAUUCCUAAAGUUAGUUGUGGAGUGUUAGACCUAUUCAUGAAUUUAGGUGGAAUAUUAGACCUAUUCAUGAAUUUAGUUGAAUCCUAAAAAAUUUAGACCCGAUUACUAAGCCCGGCAGAGAUUGACGCAACCCAAUUUCAGCUCGAAACACUACUAGACGACGAGAAAAACAGUUCAAAAAGAAAACUCAUUCAUAUUAGGACAAAACACCACUAGAAUUAAUGAAACCACCACGACGUUGUUUAAUUUGAAACUGAAAGUGAUACAUCACCUCCAAAAGACCUCAUUGGAUUAAUGACGCAGUAAACAAAGCCAGAACAACAAUGAAAUUGGCAGUAUCAGGAAGGAAAACAUGCAUUGUGAAAAAUCAACUACAGAGAUUAAAUCAAAAUGUCAAGAUAGAAGAACGAAAAUCUUGAAGUACGGUGCAUAUAUACCGAGCAAACCAAUGGGACGACGACGACUGAGGGCUGGAGCAGAGAAGGCCUCGGUAGUGGUGAACGCCGGUAACAGAGGAAGCAACAGGAAGACGGACGAGGCAAUGGUGAUGGGCUGGAGUGGGACGACGCAACGAUGAUAGGCACAAAACUGAGGAAGCGGGAGACGGAGUGGUGAGCGGGAGACAGACGAGCAGCGACGUUGGAGGUCACUGGUGGAGGUCAUGAGUGGCACUAGGUAUUUUGAUUAUAGAAACUGAUAGUGAAUUAAAGAUUGGGAAUAACUGAUAAGGGGAAUGAGGGAGUCACAUUUGACAGCAGUAAGCCAGGCAGUAAACCAAGUGAUGGGAUGGGAGUGUUUGGUGGGUGGUCAAGUGCCACUUUGCACUCCACGUUAGAGUCCCACUUCAUUACUCAACUCUUAUUUUCUAUUAACCCCAUUGAUUAGUCCACACCACAUCGAAUCUCGCGUUUCAAAAUCUAAUAAAUAAGUAAAUAUUAAUUAAUUAGUGGUCUGUAUUGAUAAAUACAACUUUAGUUAAUUAUGAUAAAAACUUGUAAAACAAGAAUCAUACCACGCUGACAACUCGUUAAAUACGGUUCGUUGCCUUCCAUACAUACAAGCAAAACUACAAACAGAGUCCUCAACCAAAAAGCACUCUUUC
rnacentral:lncRNA from 1 species